CUUCUGCUGCUGGUGGCUUUGAGUGCCAUUCCCACCUAAUCCUCUGGAUUGGUCCUUCUGUUUUGAUUUUUCCAGGCCUUUUCCCUUAUUAGGAAAGGCCCACCCGCCCAGCAGUUGCUCUAAGUGAGGCCUAGUCCUCCCUCAGAUUCUUCCCAUAACUACAGCUUGACACAGCUUUUAAAGGCACAGGGAGGGAAGGGAGAGACAUCUGAAUGGUCUGAGGAAGAUUCCACACCAGCUUCCAUUUGUUCUGGUUUGUCUCUAAAACCCAGUAAUUCCACCUCCUUGACUUCUUUACUUUCCCAAUAUAUGUCUUCUUCUUUGGAUCAGUGAAUACAGAGGUGGAGCUAGGUAAUUUUGGACCCUGGACCAAAUCGGGGGACCCCUUGCAAGAUCAUCCUCUUGACCCAUCCUCUGGGUGUGCACAGCUACUGGUAAGCACUACUUUAAUUUGCUUGGCUAGGCUGAACAGAACUGGGAGGGGCUAUCCUCUUAAAGACUUUGCCUAAUUGAUUUGUCCUGCCUCUGGAGCAUGUGGGAAGGAGAUCUCCUUAACUCCAGCAGCAGGAAGAAGCCUUCAUGGUGAGUGACCAACAAUCCAAUUUCACAAAUUUUUCAAACAAGAUGAACAUUUCAUGUUGAAAUUAAGAAUUUGAUCUCAAAAAUUGACCUCAAAGUGGUAAUGUGAUUAUACUGGAAUACAGAAACUCUUUAAACCUUUUCAGAAAUCUCUAUUCAUCUGAGCAUGUUGCGGGGUGGGGGUGGGGGGAGAGUGCAUGUGCUUCUACUCUUCUGACCCCGACAUGUUCUGCUGAAGAAAUUAAUCAAGAUUACAAGGAUAUAACUAUAUGUGCAUUCAGCUCUCUCUGCAUUAUCAGGAACUUUCCUGAACACAAAGAGCUAUAUUAUAUAUAUUUAUCAAGUUGAAUGCAUGAUGGUUGGAAGGGUACACCAUAUGUGAUCCUACUUCUCCCCACCAUGUUCAUCUGAUGAACUGAAUUAUGCUUAAUUUGGACCAAUGUUGUCAUCUGUAAAUGGGAACAUUUCCUGGUUGUUUCACAUUGGUUUUGUGACCUUGUCUCUCUAUCCAUGUCUUUUCUGCCUGGUAGAUUGAGUAAGUUCUCCUGAUGAUGAAUGUUCCUAAGACAUUGCUGGAGAGAGAUAUGUGAACUUGUCAGGUUUGGCAUUUUAAUACAAUAAUACAAUACUUCUAGUUGCUGAACAGAUGAGCACCUGAUUCAUCACUUGUUGAAUCUAACUGGUAUGUCUCUUACUCAAGUCCUUGAGCACCUGAUUCAUUACUUGUUGAAUCUAACUGGUACGUCUCUUGCUCAAGGAACUUAUACCCUCUGUAUUAUUCUUAAUCCCAGAUUCGAAAGGCUGGUAUUGGUUAAUCAAUGAUAAGGAGGAUCCAUUCUUAGUCUGUGCACAUGCUUUCCCCGCUUCACGUUCCUGAGUUUAGUCUAGGAACUGAAAAUUGAGCAUGUUUCUUCAGCUUGUUACCAAGGGGGUGAGUGGAAAGAGGCUGCUGCUGGUUACUGGUGGCAUUGUCUGAGAUGGGUCAUUCAGUCUAGCAAGUCUUUGAGGCAGAGACAAAUGUGGAUCAUGGGAUAUCUCAUGGGAUAUCUCAUGGGAUAUCUUCACUGGAGCAAGCCAUGGGAACAGCACAAUCAGCAUUCUUGUGCUGAUGCCACCAACGAUUUGAACCAGGAGAAGUCUGUUCGUAAGCAGAGGCCACUGUUGGCUGUCAAAAAUGGUGAGAAAUGCCAUUGGAAGUAAAAUGCUGAGAAUAUGAUGAAUAUUUAUAUGAUGUUCUUCAACAAAAGUUCCCAAAGCAGUUUAUAUAGUUAUUUAUAAACAAGUAAAGAUGGUCCAUGUCCCCAAAGGGCUCCCAAUCUAAAAAAGAAACAUAAGAUACCAACAGCAGCUACUGGAGGGAUGCUGUGCUGGGGAUGGAUAGGGCUAGUUGUUCUUCCUCUGCUCACUAAAGAGAAUCACCACUUUUAAAAGGUGCCUCUUUGUUCAAUUAGCAGACUGAACAUCAAGAUACUAAAUAUUCAACAGAUAUCCAGUAUCAGAACCUGAAGUGACCAAUUCUGAGGAGGAACUAAUUUAAUCUGUAUCAGUGAUGGAUUGGCAAUUUGCUUAAUUGCUCAUUUGAUCUUGUAGUUCAAAAGCUGAUCUCAGUAUUUAACUGAAAUCUACAUGCCCAGAACUUAAAACCAUCUCUCUCUCUUUUUAACUUUAAGUUCUAUCUCUUUUAUUCUCUCUCUCUCUCACACACACACACACACACACACACACACACACACACACACACCCUUUGGAAAAAUGUAAAUUGUUUCUUUUUUACAUCAGAUAAAUCAGUUUUAAUAUAAUUUUAAUUCAUUUCUAUAAUUGUCUUCUCUUAACAUGCAAUCUGUGAAGUGUAGAUUUGAAAAGUUAGUAGAUUUGUAUGAGAUUUCUCAAUGUCGAUUCCAACUUAACAAAUUCAUAAACCUGUAUAGAAAGUAAGUAGUUUAGCUGUAAAAAAAAACCAUAUGCUUUUGUGUACAGAUAGAAGCACGUGGCUUUGGAAUGACAUCAUAGGGACCAGGUGAGUGCUUUCAUCACAGGAGCUGUCAGACGGUCCUUAUGUCACAGGAAAUGGUCAGAGGAGGGGCUUACAUGACUGGAAAUGGUCAGAGGAGAGCCCUACAUCACCAGAAACAGUCAGAAGCAGGGGUGCGCCCUUGCCCCAGAUGGUCUGUCCUCCAACCCUCUAUUUUACCUCAGAAUAUGCCCAGGCAUGCCCUGAAGGUGGGCAUGCAACCCCUCUACAAAUACGCCUCUCCAUCUUGGACCAAUAGGGACAGGUUUCAUAGCCUGGAAAGGCCUGACAGUGCAGGCAUGAUAAUGGGGAUGGGGGGGCAUUCUGUGUAACUUUAUUGGCUGAAAUGGAGCCAAGUAACCCCUCUAAGUACAAACCCUGUGGCCGUAUGUUUAGAGGUGGCCAUUUUACAGUUCUGCAGAGACCAUAGAAGAUGCUAGGACUCCACUGUGGCCUGUGGGGCUAUCUUUGCCACAGACGCACAGAACAUUAAGCCUAUGACUCCAAAGAGUAUGUUGUACCCUCCAGCAGGACUGAAAACUCACCAGAUGAUUGUUUUUACCCUGGGCCAGGUUCCGGAUCCAGAAACAAACUUUGCAGUAUGACGAACUAGAAUGUGAUUGUGGAUGCUGUAACAUCAUCCCUGCUUCUGCUGUGGAAAUUGAAGCCAGAAAGCCUCCAGCUACUGUCCCAAAAAGCAGAAGCUUGGGUUCAUCAGAUGCUGAAGCAGAAGCUCCUGUGAAACAAAAGCUGCAUAGGAUAAAAUGGGUGAAGUUUAGGCCCCGGUAUGAUUAGUGUGAUGUCAACUGUUGCCCAAAUUCUGGUAAGCUUGGGGAGGCAUGUGCCAUCAGGGGAACGUUUCUGAGGAUGAGUGUGGCUGUGUUUCUUUUUUGUCAAGCAGGUGCAGGGAUACACUGUGUGAGAAUAAGUGCUGCAGGUCUAGUGAAGAUUGAUCACCGUUUGAUUGCCUGACAAAAUAUAUAGAUCCCCCAAGCAAUUGAUGUUUAUCUGCCAGAAGCAAAGCGGAGAGGAGCACAUUCAUAUUUGAGAGAGGAUACAGAGAAGACAAUUGUGCAUAACUGUUAAUAAGUUGAUUAAAGAAAAAAUGGGUGACAUCUAGACCAACAAAGUACAUGUGCAGCAAAGGAAGCACACAUGUAGCAUUCUGUGUCCCAGACUAAUAUGAAACUAUGUCUGUGAGGGUCAUGCAGCCCUGUAUACGGUAAAUAUGUCCAGCAUACAUCUUCCCUCUCCAUUCACUGAGAAGGAGGAUGGGAGAAUUGGCAGCUCAUCUGUCUGCCGCCAGUGAAUGCACCUCCUCCUCAUUUGCUGGUAACCUUGGGAAGGCAUGUGCCAUCAGGGGAACAUGGGGGGUUGUGCUUUUGCGGAAGACAUAGGGAAGACACACCAUUGGUGGGCUCAGUGUAGGGCUUUCCCCAGGGCCUUCUUGCAGUCUGGCACUGGUACUUCAGGGAUCUGUUGGGAGACGGGGUUGUGGGGCUGGAGGAGACAUGGAAACUUAUCCCUUUAUUGGGGAGAGCCCAAUUUGCCCAUUGUGCAUCUUGACUUGGGGGAAAUGGUGCCCCUGAUGGGGGCAUGUUGAGGCCGAACAGAGAGAAAUUCCCGUAAGCAUGGGCACCAGGACUGGGGCCUUGGAUUAUCUGCGGGGACUCUCACAAGAACAUGAGAUCUCAUUCCAGCCCGAGAUCUUGUGAGAAUUGCUGUGAUUGCCAAGAGCUAUAUAAAGUGGGACUGGUUGAUGAUAAGGAGCCAGUUCCCAAUGAGAGAGCAGGCUGGCAGGAGCUCUGUGAGUCAGCUAAAGAGCACACCUGGGAGGGGCAGUGAAUGAACUUAACCUCCAAAUAGGUGGCGCUCUUUACAACCUCUGAGGCUGAACAGACCACAGACAAAAAGGGGGCAGGAAAUGACCAGGGGGGCUAUGAGACUUGACAGGAACACUAUGUAUCCUUGGAUGCUUAGCAGGGGUUCUGUGAUGAAAAAAUCAAGAAUAGCAGUAAAGUUUCCCUAAAAGACAGCUUGUUCACAGAGGGUGUUGCAGAAGUCCAAGAGGUCUUCACUGUCUGAGGGCCCAUCAACAAAUAAUAAAGCUGUUCACAUGAGCAGCCCUACUGGGGUAGGAUUACUCAUGUGAAAUGCCAGGAUUGGGGCUGAUCCUGGUGCUGCUCCACCAGGUUGCUCAAGGUCUCCCCUCAGGCUUUUCCCCAGGCAGAAGAGCGCAAGUGCGCCCUGCUCCCUAGAUCCACGUUUUUGUGUGUGCGCUCGGGGUUCCUGCAGCCCAAACACAUACAGAGCCAGGCGAUUAGAGCACCCAGCUGCAGGGGAAUCCAUGCUCUGGGCAUGGUGCAUUGAGGGAUGCCAGAGGACUUCCUCCUCCAGCUCCCUGCUCUGCCACUCACAGUGGUGCCACUUGGGUGCUGUGGCGAGUGGCAGCGCAAACUGGGGAGAGUGAUCAUGUGCAGGGAGGUAGGCAGGAGCCUGCCUCCCUGCCCAGCCUCACCAGAGAGGUUGUGUGCACGACCUCAUUGUCUUGUUUUAUACUAGUUUAAUUGUCAUUGCUUAUUUUAUAGAAUCCAAGCAACUGUAAUUUUGUAAGGUUGCUGAAAUCUUUUUGUUAAAUAUUCCUCAGCCCCUCAGAGCAAUACAGUUCAUGGGGAAAAGUCAAUGACUAUUAGUUGAGUUCAAGAUAUUACUUCCUCUACAUAACCCAGAAUCCUCUGCAAUACACAAUUUCUGUGGCAAAGUUGACAAACGAGUUGGUAUGGAAAGGUUUUUCUGAAGGGAGGAAGUGUAGUAAAACUUUGAAAACCACCAUGCUAACGCAAUCUCUUCCCCUUCUGACUGCUAUUUUUGCCUUGUAUCUGCUAAUGUAAAUAUCUAAAACUGUAAUUUUAAAAUCAAAGAAAAGAGCUAUGGAGGCACAACUAAAAGGAUAGAUUAUGAUGCUCUACAUAGCCCCUUCAAAAAGCAAUAUUGUAUGUGGUGUUUUGGGUGGUUUUUUGUUUUUGUUUUUUGUUUUUUGCUUGUGGAAAUCUACACCAAGGUGGAUAUUCAUUUGGGCCAUCAGCCACCUUCACAUGAGUGCACACAAUCAUGCUCAUGUUGGCAUCCCACAUUAAACCUAGAUUCAGAUGAUCA